UACGGAGGGUGCAAACGUUGCUCGGAAUCAUUGGGCGUAAAGCGCACGUAGGCGGCGUGAUAAGUUGGGUGUGAAAGCCCUGGGCUCAACCCAGGAAGUGCAUUCAAAACUGUCUCGCUUGAAUCUCGGAGGGGGUCAGAGAAUUCCCGGUGUGGAGGUGAAAUUCGUAGAUAUCGGGAGGAAUACCAGUGGCGAAGGCGCUGACCUGGGCGAAGAUUGACGCUGAGGUGCGAAAGCGCGGGGAGCAAACAGG
rnacentral:rRNA from 1 species